AAUGAACGCUGGCGGCGUGGAUAAGACAUGCAAGUCGAACGGAGUUAGCAAUAAGCUUGCUUAAGGCAAACUCAGUGGCGAACGGGUGAGUAACACGUGAAUAAUCUGCCUUGAAGUGGGGGAUAGCCCUGGGAAACUAGGAUUAAUACCGCAUGUGGUCGAGAGACUAAAGCAGCAAUGCGCUCUAAGAUGAGUUCGCGUCCUAUUAGCUAGUUGGUGAGGUAACUGCUCACCAAGGCCUUGAUAGGUAGCCGGUCUGAGAGGAUGUCCGGCCACACUGGAACUGAGACACGGUCCAGACCCCUACGGGUGGCAGCAGUCGAGAAUCAUUCACAAUGGGGGCAACCCUGAUGGUGCGACGCCGCGUGGGGGAAGAAUAUCUUCGGAUUGUAAACCCCUGUCAUGUGGGAGUAAGCUAGUGAUAGUUGAUAGUACCACAAGAGGAAGAGACGGCAAACUCUGUGCCAGCCGCCGCGGUAA
rnacentral:rRNA from 1 species